rnacentral:misc_RNA from 1 species
GGGGGAUAACUACUGGAAACGGUAGCUAAUACCGCAUAACGUCGCAAGACCAAAGAGGGGGACCUUCGGGCCUCUUGCCAUCGGAUGUGCCCAGAUGGGAUUAGCUAGUAGGUGGGGUAACGGCUCACCUAGGCGACGAUCCCUAGCUGGUCUGAGAGGAUGACCAGCCACACUGGAACUGAGACACGGUCCAGACUCCUACGGGAGGCAGCAGUGGG